AUGGUCAGUCUCUGCCACACCGACACGUGGAUAUCAUCAAACGAGACAGCGCCUGUCCUCGUUCAGAGCAGGAGGCAGUCCCUGCCUGCGCGCACCACGACAGGAGCGCAUCGGUGCUUUGCGGUCCUUCUCUGCCUUUUGGCUCAACACGUUGUCCAGGAGAAAACUCCAAACUACUGGGAUGAGAUGCUUUCCAACUCGAAACUGAUAAAGCAAACUUGGGGGAAUGUGGGAAGAUGAAGGGGGGAAGAUGAAGCUCAGUCUAGCAAGAACGCAGAAAUAUUUUUGAUCUAUUAAGACUGAGGCGACGCAUAAAACCAGUUACAGGUAAGAGGACAUUUCUCUUUAUGGCACCAAUAUGUCAUUAUUGCGUUUAUUUAUUUUCUUUUUUUCAUCUGUAAGACUCUCUUUGGAUCAAAUUCAGAAAUAUUUCCACAAGUGCAUGUUUGGUUGCGCACCAAGCGCCUGUAUGCUCAAUUCCCCAACAACAGUAAUGAUUGACACGACCUCCUUCAAGUCAAGCAGAUUGCAAAAUUACCGGGAGUAAUUUAUUUAAAUAUUUCGAGGAUGCAGGUGCAGAAAUUAGGUCUUGAAAAGUGGAGGGAAAAAAAUGCUCCAACUUCAGUUGAGUGAAAAAUGUCAUGAAAAUGAAAACACGCGGGCUCUGAGAGACAUAAUGAGAAUGAAAAAUAGCAUUUUCAUCCUCAUGGUCAUCACACUUCUUUUUGUUUUUUUCAUUGAUGUGUGACCACACUUAAUGCUUAUGUCAACAGAAUAGAGUAAAAGAAUUUAGUGUUCUGUUUUUUUUUUUUUCUGCUCUCCCAUCAGAUCCCUGUUGUAUUCCUAUAAUGGUUAUUGACACAGAAUCGCUUCAGCCUGACUGGAGCAAGGCUUUUGGCAGUGCUGAAAUUGAUUUAUGUCAAUGCCCAGUCACUAAUGAAGUGAAAGAAUUACACAAUAUCUACCACAGCUGAUAUUUGGGUGCUUUUUUUCUAUUUGGAGCCGUUCCCCUUGUUAGCUCUUGGCUAAAGCAGACAGGCGCACCAGGAGGUCUGCUUUAAUUUUCUUCUCCCCUUAGAUUUGCUAUCAGUCAGACCUGCUUUGAAGAAAGAUGAUCAAGGUGGAAAAUCAAUGAAUUCCCUCCAGGACCUGCUGUCCUGAUGCAUGACUUAAAAAAGCAAACAUUCUAACAUCUGAAGAAGCGGAUUGCUCAAUAUUGCAUUACAUGUCACUCACGCAUGCUUUGUUGCACAAUCUCAUAACAUUCAGGUCAGCAAGGUCAACUCAGCGUUUGUCAACAAGUUGACUCAGGAAGACGAGGGGAUUAAGUGCAAUAUCUGAUCAAAAUGAAGACUGUAAAUCUCAAUUUUCGGCCCCAUGGGAAACAUAAAUAUCUGGUGGAACUGAGUUUUGACAAAAUCUUCUUUGUGUGCAGGUGGGAUGC
rnacentral:lncRNA from 1 species